rnacentral:rRNA from 1 species
GGCGACGCCUGCCCAGUGAAAAAUUAAACGGCCGCGGUAUCCUAACCGUGCAAAGGUAGCACAAUCAUUUGUCUAUUAAUUGUAGACCUGUAUGAAAGGCAAAAUGAGAGCCCAACUGUCUCUUAUAACAAAUCAAUUAAACUGAUCUCCUAGUACAAAAGCUAGAAUACUAACAUAAGACCAGAAGACCCUGUGAAGCUUUAACUAACCUAUUAAACCCAAUAAUAGCUACUUUAGGUUGGGGCGACCUUGGAAUAAAAAAGAACUUCCAACCUAUGACUCUCUCAUAAAAAGGCAAACAAGCCUAACACUAGACCCAGCACAGCUGAUAAUCGAAACAAGUUACUCCAGGGAUAACAGCGCUAUCUUCUUUAAGAGCCCAUAUCAAAAAGAAGGUUUACGACCUCGAUGUUGGAUCAGGACACCCCAGUAGUGCAACCGCUACUAAAGGUUCGUUUGUUCAACGAUUAAUAGUCCUACGUGAUCUGAG